rnacentral:rRNA from 1 species
GGGUUGUGAGGUUAAGCGACUAAGCGUACACGGUGGAUGCCCUGGCAGUCAGAGGCGAUGAAGGGCGUGCUAAUCUGCGAUAAGCGCCGGUAAGGUGAUAUGAACCGUUAUAACCGGCGAUACCCGAAUGGGGAAACCCAGUGUGACUCGUCACACUAUCAUUAACUGAAUCCAUAGGUUAAUGAGGCGAACCGGGGGAACUGAAACAUCUAAGUACCCCGAGGAAAAGAAAUCAACCGAGAUUCCCCCAGUAGCGGCGAGCGAACGGGGAGGAGCCCAGAGCCUGAAUCAGCAUGUGUGUUAGUGGAAGCGUCUGGAAAGGCGCGCGAUACAGGGUGACAGCCCCGUACACAAAAGCGCAUGUGCUGUGAGCUCGAUGAGUAGGGCGGGACACGUGGUAUCCUGUCUGAAUAUGGGGGGACCAUCCUCCAAGGCUAAAUACUCCUGACUGACCGAUAGUGAACCAGUACCGUGAGGGAAAGGCGAAAAGAACCCCGGCGAGGGGAGUGAAAAAGAACCUGAAACCGUGUACGUACAAGCAGUGGGAGCGUGUGACUGCGUACCUUUUGUAUAAUGGGUCAGCGACUUAUAUUCUGUAGCAAGGUUAACCGAAUAGGGGAGCCGGAGGGAAACCGAGUCUUAAUUGGGCGUUAAGUUGCAGGGUAUAGACCCGAAACCCGGUGAUCUAGCCAUGGGCAGGUUGAAGGUUGGGUAACACUAACUGGAGGACCGAACCGACUAAUGUUGAAAAAUUAGCGGAUGACCUGUGGCUGGGGGUGAAAGGCCAAUCAAACCGGGAGAUAGCUGGUUCUCCCCGAAAGCUAUUUAGGUAGCGCCUCGUGAAUUCAUCUCCGGGGGUAGAGCACUGUUUCGGCUAGGGGGCCAUCCCGGCUUACCAACCCGAUGCAAACUGCGAAUACCGGAGAAUGUUAUCACGGGAGACACACGGCGGGUGCUAACGUCCGUCGUGAAGAGGGAAACAACCCAGACCGCCAGCUAAGGUCCCAAAGUCAUGGUUAAGUGGGAAACGAUGUGGGAAGGCCCAGACAGCCAGGAUGUUGGCUUAGAAGCAGCCAUCAUUUAAAGAAAGCGUAAUAGCUCACUGGUCGAGUCGGCCUGCGCGGAAGAUGUAACGGGGCUAAACCAUGCACCGAAGCUGCGGCAGCGAUUGUUGGGUAGGGGAGCGUUCUGUAAGCCUGCGAAGGUGGCCUGUGAGGGUUGCUGGAGGUAUCAGAAGUGCGAAUGCUGACAUAAGUAACGAUAAAGCGGGUGAAAAGCCCGCUCGCCGGAAGACCAAGGGUUCCUGUCCAACGUUAAUCGGGGCAGGGUGAGUCGACCCCUAAGGCGAGGCCGAAAGGCGUAGUCGAUGGGAAACGGGUUAAUAUUCCCGUACUUGGUGUUACUGCGAAGGGGGGACGGAGAAGGCUAUGUUGGCCGGGCGACGGUUGUCCCGGUUUAAGCGUGUAGGUGUGUGUUCCAGGUAAAUCCGGUUCACUUUAACACUGAGGCGUGACGACGAGGCACUACGGUGCUGAAGCAACAAAUGCCCUGCUUCCAGGAAAAGCCUCUAAGCAUCAGGUAACAUCAAAUCGUACCCCAAACCGACACAGGUGGUCAGGUAGAGAAUACCAAGGCGCUUGAGAGAACUCGGGUGAAGGAACUAGGCAAAAUGGUGCCGUAACUUCGGGAGAAGGCACGCUGACACGUAGGUGAAGUGAUUUACUCAUGGAGCUGAAGUCAGUCGAAGAUACCAGCUGGCUGCAACUGUUUAUUAAAAACACAGCACUGUGCAAACACGAAAGUGGACGUAUACGGUGUGACGCCUGCCCGGUGCCGGAAGGUUAAUUGAUGGGGUCAGCGCAAGCGAAGCUCCUGAUCGAAGCCCCGGUAAACGGCGGCCGUAACUAUAACGGUCCUAAGGUAGCGAAAUUCCUUGUCGGGUAAGUUCCGACCUGCACGAAUGGCGUAAUGAUGGCCAGGCUGUCUCCACCCGAGACUCAGUGAAAUUGAACUCGCUGUGAAGAUGCAGUGUACCCGCGGCAAGACGGAAAGACCCCGUGAACCUUUACUAUAGCUUGACACUGAACAUUGAGCCUUGAUGUGUAGGAUAGGUGGGAGGCUUUGAAGUGUGGACGCCAGUCUGCAUGGAGCCGACCUUGAAAUACCACCCUUUAAUGUUUGAUGUUCUAACGUGGACCCGUAAUCCGGGUUGCGGACAGUGUCUGGUGGGUAGUUUGACUGGGGCGGUCUCCUCCUAAAGAGUAACGGAGGAGCACGAAGGUUGGCUAAUCCUGGUCGGACAUCAGGAGGUUAGUGCAAUGGCAUAAGCCAGCUUGACUGCGAGCGUGACGGCGCGAGCAGGUGCGAAAGCAGGUCAUAGUGAUCCGGUGGUUCUGAAUGGAAGGGCCAUCGCUCAACGGAUAAAAGGUACUCCGGGGAUAACAGGCUGAUACCGCCCAAGAGUUCAUAUCGACGGCGGUGUUUGGCACCUCGAUGUCGGCUCAUCACAUCCUGGGGCUGAAGUAGGUCCCAAGGGUAUGGCUGUUCGCCAUUUAAAGUGGUACGCGAGCUGGGUUUAGAACGUCGUGAGACAGUUCGGUCCCUAUCUGCCGUGGGCGCUGGAGAACUGAGGGGGGCUGCUCCUAGUACGAGAGGACCGGAGUGGACGCAUCACUGGUGUUCGGGUUGUCAUGCCAAUGGCACUGCCCGGUAGCUAAAUGCGGAAGAGAUAAGUGCUGAAAGCAUCUAAGCACGAAACUUGCCCCGAGAUGAGUUCUCCCUGAGACUUAGAGUCUCCUGAAGGAACGUUGAAGACGACGACGUUGAUAGGCCGGGUGUGUAAGCGCAGCGAUGCGUUGAGCUAACCGGUACUAAUGAACCGUGAGGCUUAACCUUA